GAUGAACGCUAGCUACAGGCUUAACACAUGCCAGUCGAGGGGAAACGAUGAGAGAGCUUGCUCUCUUAGGCGUCGACCGGCGCACGGGUGAGUAACGCGUAUCCAACCUACCCAUUACAGGGGGAUAACCUUGCGAAAGUAAGACUAAUACCCCAUGGCAUUUUAUGGUGGCACCAUUAUAGGAUUAAAGAUUUAUUGGUAAUGGAUGGGGAUGCGUCUGAUUAGCUUGUUGGCGGGGUAACGGCCCACCAAGGCAACGAUCAGUAGGGGUUCUGAGAGGAAGGUCCACCACAUUGGAGCUGAGACACAGUCCAAACUGCUACGGGAGGCAGCAGUGAGGAAUAUUGGUCAAUGGGCGAGAGCUUGAACCAGCCAAGUAGCGUGCAGGAUGACGGCGCUAUGGGUUGUAAACUGCUUUUAUAGGGGAAUAAAGUGAGCUACGUGUAGUUUAUUGCAUGUACCCUAUGAAUAAGGACCGGCUAAUUACGUG
rnacentral:rRNA from 1 species